rnacentral:rRNA from 1 species
UCGACGGCAGCACGGGUGCUUGCACCUGGUGGCGAGUGGCGAACGGGUGAGUAAUGCGUCGGAACGUACCGAGUAAUGGGGGAUAACGCAGCGAAAGUUGUGCUAAUACCGCAUACGCCCUGAGGGGGAAAGUGGGGGACCGCAAGGCCUCACGUUAUUCGAGCGGCCGACGUCUGAUUAGCUAGUUGGUGGGGUAAAGGCCUACCAAGGCGACGAUCAGUAGCGGGUCUGAGAGGAUGAUCCGCCACACUGGGACUGAGACACGGCCCAGACUCCUACGGGAGGCAGCAGUGGGGAAUUUUGGACAAUGGGGGCAACCCUGAUCCAGCCAUUCCGCGUGAGUGAAGAAGGCCUUCGGGUUGUAAAGCUCUUUCAGCUGGAACGAAACGGUACGCGCUAACAUCGUGUGCUAAUGACGGUACCGGCAGAAGAAGCACCGGCUAACUACGUGCCAGCAGCCGCGGUAAUACGUAGGGUGCGAGCGUUAAUCGGAAUUACUGGGCGUAAAGCGUGCGCAGGCGGAUUGUUAAGCAAGACGUGAAAUCCCCGGGCUUAACCUGGGAAUGGCGUUUUGAACUGGCAGUCUAGAGUGCGUCAGAGGGGGGUGGAAUUCCACGUGUAGCAGUGAAAUGCGUAGAGAUGUGGAGGAACACCGAUGGCGAAGGCAGCCCCCUGGGAUGACACUGACGCUCAUGUACGAAAGCGUGGGUAGCAAACAGGA